rnacentral:rRNA from 1 species
GACGUAGGGCGCGAGCGUUGUCCGGAUUUAUUGGGCGUAAAGAGCUCGUAGGCGGCUUGUCGCGUCGACUGUGAAAUCCCUCGGCUUUAACCGGGGAACUGCGUCUGAUACUGGAUGGCUUGAGUUCGGGGAGAGGGAUGCGGAAUUCCAGGUGUAGCGGUGAAAUGCGUAGAUAUCUGGAGGAACACCGUGGCGAAGGCGGCAUCCUGGACCGAUACUGACG